CUCCUCGAAAAGAAGACAAAGGAUCCAAAAUAGCAACUGCACAGACUGAUGACUGCUCCAUUACGAAGAAGACUGGCAAGGGACUGACCCCAAAAAAAUUAAUUUUUAUUGACUAGGUGUCGGAUCCAAACUCAGGUAAGGAUAUGGGUUGUCUGCUUGGGACCUGAACCACCCUUGCCAAAGUGGGUUAUUAGACAAAAAAGGAACUUACCAACGAGCUCUGAACYAAACAGUGAAAAGCAACAUAAUGAGAAGGGGCGGAAGUGAUGAAGAGAGUUCACUAUGAAGACCAGUWGAUCGAACGAGAGGUCCUGAGAUGCUUCAAUUCAGACAUUGUGCUACAUCAAGAAAAGGAUGGCUCAGAAACCGCUUUGAAUCGUCUAAUGGAGUGAUUGUUUUGGAGGUCAAACCGUUGAAGAGAAGAUUUGGCAGAUUUGUAGAAACUCGAAAGAGAGCAAUCAUUCCACUCUUGCAAACCAUUCAAGAGAAGAUUUUGCAGACUUGCAGAUACUCGAAAGAGAGAAAUCGUUCCAUUCUUGCAAACCGUUGAAGAGAGGAUUUACCGUGGAUGAAUGGAUUGAUUUUAUUUAAGUAUUUCUUGGAUGCUAAACCAUUGACAAAUGAUUUUGCAGAGUUGUAGAAUUUGGCACUCGAAAUUCAUCAGCUUCACCUAUAAUGUUUCAUUACAGAGCUAUAAGUGUAAUUUAUUAUGGAAGAAUGGUAAGAAAAUGCUUCAUCAGAGCAUGCCGAAAUUUACUAUUUAAUUCAAGAAGAGAGUCAAGAUGUGUUUGUGCUUGACCAUUGGAUUGAAACCGUUCUAGAAGACUUGUCUAGCAAAUGCUCCUAUAAAUUUAUCAUUAGCCAAGUACAAAGAUUGAGUUCACAACAACAAGUGGAAGAAGACAGAGAGUUGAUGAUUUUCCUACUUGUAGUAUUACGCAUCUAAGGUAACUUUGUCUCUUUUGAGGUGAGAGCUCUUGGUAGAUAGAUUUUCUACUUAUGAGGAUGUUUUUCUGGUUGCAUGUUUUUUCUACUUAUGUGGUUUUGGUUACAUAUUUUUCUAGUUUUAGGUAGCGUAUUUUUUCUGGUUUCACAUAACUACCUCUUUAACCGAGCAUUUCUUCCCUAUGAA